GCCUCAGACACCGUCAGCCUCUUCCAUCUCUGCUGCCAGUUAUAGGUCAUUUUAAACUAACAUCUGGCUGGAGAGCAGAGAGCCCCAGGAGUCUAAAGAGAGGCGGCCCUGCUGCUUGGCAGUUUCCAACCCCACCUCUUUCCUUGAUAAAUGUAAGUAAUAAAAAAAAAUUCCUCCAUUUCACUGGAAUGCCCAUUAAAAUGUAAACACAGAGAGAGGAUUUUGAGGAGGCUACAAAAAUGCUUUAUUCAAGAGACUGCAAACGGCAAAGCAAAUCUAAAGUUGAUUUUUAAACCUAGUCCGUGGUAUGUAAAUACACCAGGCUCCACGCCCCUGCAAGGCACACAGAUCACCGGGAUGCUUAUUGGAGAAUCUGCAACAUGGCGGAGGCUGUAACCCCAGCCUCCCUAGAAGCUGGGACGACAGCAGCAUUUAAGCCCCUCAGCCUUUUCCUUUCACAAAGUUGUCUUCCUGGAUCCAAUAUGAAGAUCCAAUGCCUUGGCUGCGCAUGGCAGGAGCCCCUGACAUUUCUCACUGCCGAAAUGUAGGACCUCUGCCGGGAAAUCUCCCAGUGCAAAGGGAAUUUCACAGCAGAGAGAACGGUGUGUUCUCUCCACCUGUUCCACCUGUGACCUUGCAGGAAGGCGUGCCUAUGCGAUCAUCACUCUGCAGCGUGGGGUCCCGUGUCAGAUCCGACUCCCCUGCGGGUCUCUCCCUCACCGGCAGGAAUGACAACUAGGUUCAACUCAUGUCAAUUGCCAAAGCUUGCAGAGCCCAACCUCGACAGGGAAGCUCAUAAUCACCUGAGAGUCAUCCUCUGACAUGUUUGCUAUCCCUGUCCAAAAACUGCAGAGAAGGGCGACAUCAUCAAGUUUACCAUCAAUCAGUUUAGCUCCUGAAUGCCAGUCACUGGGUGACCUGCCACUAGGACUAAAGAGGAUUCUGUUGCUCAUGCCCGCUGGAGUGGGUGCAGCAAUAAAUGGCUGAGGAAUGCAAGGAAACAGACCAUAAAGGGCUUCACACUUGCCCCCUCUCAUGGAAGCCAACUUCUUCCACCAACUCUCCAUAGUGUGACAGUCCACAACAGAGUGGCCAUGAGUCCACUGUGAACUUAUCAAGCCUACGGUCAGCUUUCCCUGCACCUCUCAGCACACAAGCUCACGCUUCGUGCAACCAUGGGGGUUGCAAGCCUAGUAAUGGGUAUUGUGUGUGUGUGUGUGUAUCUGCGGGUGUGUGCUCAUUUCUAUAAACUGUAAGUAUAUUCUUUAUUUUUACUGCCUGCUUUGCUCAGCCUGCAGACAGCACAAAGAUCAUCAGCAGCCUCCUAAAUUAUGGAUUGGCUCACCAAGUACACUGUGUCGCUCAUUAGCGACAUCACCAUACAGCUCCACACAACAAUAAAUUAAGUAACACAAUGGCUGCGGGAAAAUUAGGUGAAUAAUUCUCACGUUAAACUAAAAAGUUCUGGAUGUCUUUGGUUUCUUCCGGGCUGCUCCUAAGACAAUACAGUCCCGUGAAUAGACAACAGACAGGACUCUAAAUUCCAAGGGUACAAUUCUUCAGAGCGAGUUAGGUGUGGUUUACAUUAAAAAUAGAAAAGGCUCCUGCAAACAGACUUGUAUUUAUAUAGAAUGUUGUGACAACUGUCAUUUUACAUUAGUCAGAGAAAUCCCACAGGACUGGUAUAAGUAUUAAAUGUGGCCAUUUUUUUUGUUUACCGACAAAACAUAAUAAAAAGAACACAGCCUCCUGGAUGACAUUCUGGAGGAUUUUUUUUCUCCUCUUUCCCCGAAGUCAUUCAUAAAAUAAACAUGUGUUCCCAGUCCUCGCUGGCCUUCUUUAUGAGUCUCCUGACAGGGAACUCAGAGUGACUGGCAGAUCGGGGCCCCCUCAGAGGCCCCACACCAGCAGCCCCUCUCCAGACCUGGUGCACUCUUGCUGCAUUUCCAUUUGGUGCACAAACAUCAACUGUGAAGCAUGAUCCCAGAGUCUCCCUGGAACCGUGUAAUAAGGAUGGAGUUACAGGGUUUCAGUGUGGACAUUUAUGUUGU
rnacentral:lncRNA from 1 species